rnacentral:rRNA from 1 species
UGUUCGUUAUUUAGGGCGCAUGGUGGAUGCCUUGGCAUGCUGAGCCGAUGAAGGACGUGUAAGGCUGCGUUAAGCCUCGGGGAGUUGUCAAUAAAGCGUUGAUCCGAGGAUGUCCGAAUGGGGAAACCUGGCACCUGUUAUGGGGUGUUACCCUUCAGUGAAUUCAUAGCUGUUGUGGGGGUUUACGCGGGGAAGUGAAACAUCUCAGUACCCGUAGGAGA